rnacentral:lncRNA from 1 species
UCAUUACAGGUACAGUUGGUGACUUGAUCAGUUGGUGACUUGAUCUGUUGGUGACUCUUGGUUCCUGUUGGUGACUCAGUUCUUGUUGUAUGGGUUCCAUAUGACUUUGGGUUCCAGAUGACUUGGGUUUGUGGUUUCCGGUUCCGAUGCCGAAGUUCUGAUCCUGUGCUCCGUGAUACACAGCCAACCAGUCAUAAUUG